UGGGGAAUAUUGGGCAAUGGGCGAAAGCCUGACCCAGCGAUACCGCGUGAGUGAUGAAGGCCCUUGGGUUGUAAAGCUCUGUCGGAGGGGAAGAAACAGCCGGUUAACAACCGGCGCUGACGGUACCCUCGAAGGAAGCACCGGCAAACUUCGUGCCAGCAGCCGCGGUAAUACGAAGGGUGCAAGCGUUGUUCGGAAUCAUUGGGCGUAAAGAGCGUGUAGGCGGCUUGUUUAGUCGCUUGUGAAAUCCCUCGGCUCAACCGGGGAACUGCAAGCGAUACUGGCAAGCUAGAGUGUCGGAGGGGAUAGUGGAAUUUCCAGUGUAGGGGUGAAAUCCGUAGAUAUUGGAAGGAACACCUGUGGCGAAGGCGGCUAUCUGGACGAUUACUGACGCUGAGGCGCGAAAGCAUGGGUAGCAAACAGG
rnacentral:rRNA from 1 species